AUUGAACGCUGGCGGCAGGCCUAACACAUGCAAGUCGAGCGGAUGAAGGGAGCUUGCUCCUGGAUUCAGCGGCGGACGGGCGAGUAAUGCCUAGGAAUCUGCCUGGUAGUGGGGGAUAACGUCCGGAAACGGGCGCUAAUACCGCAUACGUCCUGAGGGAGAAAGGGGGGGAUCUUCGGACCUCACGCUAUCAGAUGAGCCUAGGUCGGAUUAGCUAGUUGGUGGGGUAAAGGCCUACCAAGGCGACGAUCCGUAACUGGUCUGAGAGGAUGAUCAGUCACACUGGAACUGAGACACGGUCCAGACUCCUACGGGAGGCAGCAGUAGGGAAUCUUCGACAAUGGGCGAAAGCCUGAUCCAGCAACGCCGCGUGUGUGAAGAAGGUCUUCGGAUUGUAAAGCUCUUUAAGUAGGGAGGAAGAACAGUAAGAUAAUACAUGCCUGUCUUGACGGUACCAACAGAAUAAGCACCGGCUAACUUCGUG
rnacentral:rRNA from 1 species